GGAGGGGUGCGCCGAAUUGGUAAGGCAGUGGAUUUGAAAUCCACCGGGGCAUUGCGCCCCUUAGGGGUUCGAGUCCCCUCCCCUCCG
rnacentral:tRNA from 2 species